CCCUUCUCUGGCUCCCUGACCUCACUGAGGUUGCAGCAGGCCUGGGGGCCUAGGGGAGACAUGGAGAAAGAGACGGGGGAUCCCCUGGCUGGAGCCGACCAACAGAGUAGGCAGUGAUGGCCGGAGAACGGGAUGUCAGAGUAAUGUUUGGCCUCUGGAAACAUCUCUUACAGGACGGCCAGCCAACGUCCACUAGGUAGGACAGCCAUCCGCUGGGAAGAGCUGGAGCCUGCGGGGACCUGGCUGGAUAGGUAUGGGGGAUCCAGGCCAGUGCCCUAGUCCCCGGGCCCCCCAUGGCAGUCCCCCGACUCUAAGCACCCUCACUGUCCUGCUGCUCCUCUGUGGAUAUGCUCACUCUCAGUGCAAGAUCCUGCGCUGCAAUGCGGAGUACGUGUCGUCCACCUU